ensembl:lncRNA
UUUUAAGGAAAAAACACUUUUUCACGGACGGUGACAGCGAAACGGAUAACAGUCUUCAGUGCCUGCUGGUCUUUGAAGCUCUGGAUUCUGGGACUGUUGGAAAAGCUCCAACAAAAUGAGGAAGAGGAGCGGGAGAAAAACAAUUAGAUUGAAUUACAAUUGGAUGGAAGUCGAGGACAAGGAGAAGGAAGCUUAGGAUGAGGAGGAAGAAAAGCAGCAGGAGCAUCUUUGGGGAUCUCUAUGAUGUCAUUGAGAGGCGGCGGCGAGAGGGGAGACCUCGGCUCAUCCAGCUGGACAGCCUGACCAGGAGGAGUCUACAUUAACUCGGCUCUUCCAGGGCACCCUGCAGACUCGGCUGCUGGCAACACUGGGAUGACGUGAACGCCAAACAGGAGUCCAUCACAGGUCGACUGCAGCUCCUUGUCUCAGAGUGGGAGGGAUUUGAAGCACAAAGGGAGGAGCUUGUCGUUUGGUUGGCUGAUAUGGAUGUCCACCUGAGUGAAGUUGACCAGCUGACAGGAAACACCUGUGAAAAACUGAAACAACUGCAGGUGUGGGGUUGUUUUGAUAUGAC